rnacentral:rRNA from 1 species
CAAUAGCGUAUAUUAAAGUUGUUGCAGUUAAAAAGCUCGUAGUUGAAUUUCGGGUCCCCGCGCUCGGCGCUUCAUUGUGCCGUCGUGGUGUCCCUCCUCGCCGUAAGGCGUCCUUUACUGUGAAAAAAUUAGAGUGUUCAAAGCAGGCAAUCGCUUGAAUACAUUAGCAUGGAAUAAUAAGAUAGGAUCUUGUCUAUUUUGUUGGUUGCGGACAACGAUAAUGAUUAAUAGGGAUAGUUGGGGGUGUCCGUAUUGAGCUGUCAGAGGUGAAAUUCUUGGAUUUGCUCAAGACGAACUACUGCGAAAGCAUUCACCAAGGAUGCUUUCAUUAA